GUCCAUGGUGAUACUACCCUGAAUACAUAUGAUCCCAUCUGAUCUUGGAAGCUAAGCAGGGUCGGAACUGGUCAGUACUUGGAUUGGAGAGAGGAAAAUCUGAGGGACA
rnacentral:rRNA from 1 species